rnacentral:lncRNA from 1 species
AACCAAGGAUAAAGGGAUAUGAUCCAAUCUUAUGUUCCUAUUAAAAAAAGGGGGUGAAACCCCUAUGCCCCCUCAAAUCCGCCACUGUGUGUACCAACGACAUGACAUUUUACAAAUACGCAAAUCGAUACUUGAUCUGAACAGACCGUUUUCAAUUUUGUAUAAUAGAAGUAGGUGAACUAUACAGCAGACAUAUAUAUGAAGAAGAAAAGAAAGAGGAGGUACACGUAUACGUAUGAGUGCCAAAUACGAUAUAUUUCCACCCAAGACACAAUCUGUUAAAGUAAGCAGUCAUAAUUUCAACGCUGAAAAGUAAGCUAUAAAGGGACCACAAUUUACUAGUGUAAACAAUUCAAACAAAAUCAAACAAAAUGAGAAGAAAA